UACACUUGCCGCACUUUUGGUGCUCGCGCCCGCAUUCAUGCGGACGCAGUCAAACGGGAAACAGGGAGCAAAGUCCGUCGAGGACGAGCCAACCUGUGCUGCCCCCGCAACGGUAAGCGACAGCCACGCAAGUUGCAAGUCGUCCCGGAUGCGUUUGGUCGGUUGCCCUCGUUCACGCGUGACGCUUUUUUCGUCACCUGAAAAGCGGCGCGCGAACAAAUGUGUCGAUGCCACUGCGCGUUUUCGCGCGGGAAGGCGGGCCGAUGAUGUCGCCAGCCCGGAUACCGGCCAAUGGUCACGUGCCGCG
rnacentral:ncRNA from 2 species